CUCAGGGAGGAAGAAAGGCCUGAAAUGUGUGUAUUAAGAUGAUUACCAUGUGCUUGGGAAUAUCCUUUAAUUUAAAUUUUGUUUUAUUUUAUUUUUAGCUUCAAAGCUUUUGCAGGAAUGAACACCUGUCUUUCCGGGCAUUAUAAGAAAUUGUCAGCUUACAAAGGCACUGUCCAAAAGGCCUGGUUGCACUGGAAGUCUGUUGCAGUGUGUGCUGUUUAAAGCACUCGAGCCAUGGAAGUAGAUCUCGGAAAUCCUUGGGGUGACAUCAGCUCCAAAAAUUGUACCUGGGGUGUUUACAUAAACAGAAGGACCGUGUAGGACCCACUGAACAACUCUGAAUUAAGUUCAAAUGCAAGUAAAAUAUCCAAGAAAAAAUCCAGGUUGUUCCCAAGCCAAGCAAUCAUAUGGAAGCAUUGAACUACACUUGAUUGAGUUUUUAGGGGUUUCCAACUCCCUUCUGCCCCAGGCUCCUAAAGAACUCAUGUAAUGGUUUAAGUCACAAUCUGUCACAUAAGGAAUUGUCAUUUCUGAUGGAGCAAUAAUCUGAGCAUAGUUUUUCACUUUGUAAAGGAGAUGGUAAUUGUGAUGGGCUCUGUUUUUCUGAUGGGGCGAUCCUCUGGUGUGGAGUGACAAUUUGAAUAAAGUAAAGUUUUGAAGAGUUGCA
rnacentral:lncRNA from 1 species